rnacentral:rRNA from 1 species
GUGAGGAAUAUUGGUCAAUGGGCGAGAGCCUGAACCAGCCAAGUCGCGUGAAGGAUGAAGGUUUUAUGAAUUGUAAACUUCCUUUGCAGGGGAAUAAAGUACGGUACGUGUACCGUUUUGUAUGUACUCUGCGAAUAAGGAUCGGCUAACUCCGUGCCAGCAGCCGCGGUAAUACGGAGGAUCCAAGCGUUAUCCGGAUUUAUUGGGUUUAAAGGGUGCGCAGGCGGGUUGAUAAGUCAGCGGUGAAAGUUUGCAGCUUAACUGUAAAAUUGCCGUUGAAACUGUCGAUCUUGAGUGCAAAUGAGGUAAGCGGAAUGUGUUGUGUAGCGGUGAAAUGCUUAGAUAUAACACAGAACACCGAUUGCGAAGGCAGCUUACUGGGAUGCAACUGACGCUCAUGCACGAAAGCGUGGGGAUCAAACAGGAUUAGAAACCCCAGUAGUCC